rnacentral:rRNA from 1 species
UGGGGAAUAUUGGACAAUGGGCGCAAGCCUGAUCCAGCCAUGCCGCGUGAGUGAUGAAGGCCCUAGGGUUGUAAAGCUCUUUCACCGGUGAAGAUAAUGACGGUAACCGGAGAAGAAGCCCCGGCUAACUUCGUGCCAGCAGCCGCGGUAAUACGAAGGGGGCUAGCGUUGUCCGGAUUUACUGGGCGUAAAGCGCACGUAGGCGGUCUAUUAAGUCAGGGGUGAAAUCCCGGGGCUCAACCCCGGAACUGCCUUUGAUACUGGUAGUCUUGAGGUCGAGAGAGGUGAGUGGAAUUCCGAGUGUAGAGGUGAAGAUCGUGGAUGUUCGGGGGAACACCAGUGGCGAAGGCGGCGCACUGGCUCGAUACUGACGCUGAGGUGCGAAAGCGUGGGGAGCAAACAGG